UACGUAGGGGGCAAGCGUUGUCCGGAAUAAUUGGGCGUAAAGGGCGCGUAGGCGGCAAGGCAGGUCAGCAGUGGAAGUCCCAUUUUUCAAGGUGGGGAGGGCUGUUGAAACUGCGUUGCUUGAGUGCAGGAGAGGUUAUCGGAAUUCCCGGUGUAGCGGUGAAAUGCGCAGAGAUCAGGAGGAAUACCGAAGGCGAAGGCAGUCUUCCAAGCCGUUAUUGACGCUCAACUGCGAAGGUGUGGGUAUCAAACAGGAUUAGAUACCCCGGUAGUCCCU
rnacentral:rRNA from 1 species